UUCAGUCUAUCAUUGACUGAAUUUUCAGGUUGGAUAAAGCUUCUAAUACUUAGAAAUUAUUUAUGCUGGAAAAACAAAAAUCAGAUCAUAGGAAGUCCGGGAAAUAACAUGAGAAUUAUUGGGGAUUCCAGAAUCCUGAAGCGCAGAGUUAUCAAGAAGUUUUCUCGUUGUGAUGUGGCUUCAAGUUCUUCGAUAUCGCAGGGAUCUGAUCCCCACAUCUUCAGCACGCACAAGAUCGCGAAUCUCCACAUCUUCACGAUCUCCAUUUAUAUAUGUGUGGGUGCGCGUGUAAAUUGUGUGGAUGUGAGACAGUUCUUUGCCAUCAUUACAGAUGUGGGACUGGAACCCCACUCUGAACCGCAAUGUGCAACAAACCAGAAAAGUUUUAAAGCAUGAGCCAAUUAAAAAUAUCAUGAACGCACAUUUCGUUAUCA